rnacentral:sRNA from 1 species
AUCGCAACCAUUCAAUCCAAACAAGAAUCUACUUCGUCCGGUUCAAGCACCAACAACCCAAAACAAUCAACAUGUCUCCCUGCACCUGCAACUGCUGCUCCGGCGACUGCAACUCCUGCUCCUGCAACAGCUGCACCGUAUGUUGUCCCCCAUC